ACAGCUGUGACUGAGCAGUCUGCUUAUGCUGGUGAGGCAUGCUUCAAAUGAAAAUCAAGUACAAUUCUAAGCUAAAGGAAACCUUGUACACCCAGUCUGAAAGGAUAUGCCCCUGGACUCCAAUCAGGGGACUGACCCAUGUUAUGGCCUGGAUCUGCCAUGAGGAGAUGUGCAACCUCUGGCAACCCCAGUCUCUUCCCCUAUGAAAUCACCGAGUUGGACCAGGAGAUCUCAAAUACCAGUUUAAAGCCUACUGUGCUAGAUGCUGGAACCACAGUCCAGGCCACGUACUGUCACAUCGUGCAGCGCAGGAUGGUGGAGGACACCAUAACAAGCAGGCCAAUGAGAGGUCACGUAACACAAAAGAGAUCGAUGGUAUGGGCUCUUGCAACUAUGAGAGCCCUCAGAGGCCAGCAAAUCUGAAGUAACAAAAAUACAACUUUUCAAAGCCACAGGAACAAGACCUUUACAAAUUCAUCAUUUGAAGAGAUUGCCCUGGCAGGCAGAGUGCUGUCUUUCCCUGGAUGUAGGUGAAUUAGCUCUGUAACCUCAAGCGGCUCCUCACAAGAUGCCAUUUCUCUGCUUCUCCCAGUCCUCAUUAUAAUCUACAGGGCCACUUGUGUGGAGGACACUGCCUCCAAGCUUAAACUAAAACUUGAAAUCCUCGGAAAGAACAAAAACAAGGAUAUCCAGCCAGAUGUGUCUCUAAAGCAAUGAACAAGGCUUCAAAAAAUUGAGUUUCCAUUCAAAUAUGUUACACCAUCACUGAAGAAGUACAAGUCAGCAGAAACCUAGAGUGGAAUGUUCCAAAGUGGUGGUGGUAUUGUAACAAUAAUAAUAAUAUCUUGCACAAGUUAUGAAGUAAACAGCAUCAACUCCUUUAAAAGAAUACUGAUGGUUGAAGCACGAUGUUCACUGAUACCUGAAGAAUGUGAACCAGUUGUGAAUAGCAAGGAGAAACUGAAAGCAGAGAGAAAGCCAGGACAAAGUUGAGUGGAUGUUGCAAAGCAAAGCAUUGCAGAUACACUGGUGGGCAUUUAUGAUACAAAACCGAACUGCAGUGCAAUGAAUCAAAUGGAUGACAACAGUUCAAAGAAGCAGAAACAAAAUACGCGUACCUACAACUGCAAACAAUGGCAUAAUCACAAAAUGCCAACCACAAAGAAAGCAUAAGCAAGGACAUUUAAAAAGCCAAACAGAAAACUGUUUCCUGAUCUCAUGGAUAGUUUUGGCAGGCUAUGAUUCAGCAAAUUAAAAGAGCCCAUUCAGUUCCACUCAGAAAUCAUCCUCACUGACACUGGCUUGUCAUGAUUUUAUGUUUUAACCAAGGCAGGAUGACCAGGCUGCCAGAAAGAAACGAGAAGGAAUAUGUAAAGAUGAUAGUGAUAAGAAUGAGUGUGGACCUUAUUUUCAGACUUUUGAAAAAUGAAGAAUCUUGUAGUGGGAAAAAAAACAUCUAUGAAGUAGAAGAAACUGACUUUGAAUUGUGGAUUAUGUGCUUUUUCUUCCUUGAACUUGAUCUGCUGGUGACCUGUGCAGUCUACAUUGCUGACAUGUGUCCUCAGAUAUGUGUCCUCAGACAUGUGUCCAGACGUGUAUUUCUCUUGUCUUCUGACAGGCACCCUGGGGCCUCUGCGCAGAAGGCAUUUUUUUUUUUUUUUAAUUUCCUACAUUGGGAUCCUCUUGAACUUAGGCAGUAAAAUCUGGGUUCCAAUCCCACAUGAGUUACGGUUCAUGAUUACAAAAUUUCAAAAUAUAUUCAUUUUUUCUACCGAGACACUAGGCAAGCCAGACAGAAUUCCAUGUGACCUCUACUGCAGAGGAGAAUUUUCCUAAAUCCACGCCUUCUCUGGUGGUAGUCCUUCAAGGAGUCUGGCCGUAUGCUGUAUAGCCAAGUACCCUAGCUCUUGCCUCCUGUCCCCACGUGAAUGUCAAGAUCCAAAUCCUAGGAAAUGGAAUCUAAUAGCCCUUCCCCAACCUCUUCUCUCCAAGCCAGUUGGAGCACUAGCUUUCCCACUUAUUGCUCUGGUUUUCAUUUCUGCCUUUUUUUCCUGACGCUGGAAAUUUCCCA